AGUGGGCAAAGAACCAACCUCUCGAGUAUGAGGGCGCGGGUUCGAUUCCAGGUCAGGCAAGUACCAAUGCAACUUUUCUAAGUUUGUAUGUACUUUCUAAGUAUGUCUUAGACACCAAUGACUGUGUUUCGGAUGGCACGUUAAACUGUAGGUCCCGGCUGUCAUUGAACAUCCUUGGCAGUCGUUACGGGUAGUCAGAAGCAGGGUCUGUCAAGUUUGUUCUACGAAUUGCAUUAAGGUGGGCUUGAAAACAAGAGAGAGUCAACGACAUCAGAGUAAAAGAGAUAAAUAUAUAAUGUUGCCACCAAAAAUACAAUUUCGUAUUCUCCCUAAUAAUGAGCGUAUAAAUUGAUUUUUAAAGUAAAUUACCCUUGAAGAUACUUUUAGCUAUUAUUCUAAUGCCAAAAAAUAUACUUAGUUGAGAAAUAUUAGAUAUAAAAUUUAAUAUUACUUAUUAGAAAAUAUAUAUGGGGGAUUAUGUGUGGCAACACUAAUGUCCGGACGCCAUAUUGGUUUUGACAUUGUUGACGUCACAAGAAAAAUGUCUGCGGCCGGUUGCGCACCAUUUUAUCUUGUACUAAUGUUUAUUUGUAAUAAAUAAACUACUUCCAUUUAAUUCUACAUACAUUGAUAACGUUGAGUCGAGCUUGCUCCUCCGUUGCUGUGUUUUGGUGAAAUUAAGUGUGUAUUUGUGAGAUAUAGACUCGGUGUUGAGACAGUGACUUGUUUGAUUUUGUUUUGUGUUUAAUUCGCGAUGAGUUCACAAAAAGAAAACACAAGAAUCUGCUGCUUGUGUGGAUCUUCACCUUCUAAAGAUCCCAGCAUCACUUUGCAUCGGUUUCCAAAGCCUGGCACUAAAAAUGCUCUGCGUUGUGAAUUAUGGGCAAAGUAUUGCUUCCCAAACGAAGCCUGGUCUUCACCAAAAUUCCAGGACGCACUCCAUAAACAACAUAAGAUGCUAUGCAGCAAACAUUUCAAAAGCACAUGCUUUAAUGAGAAGAAGUUGUUCAGAACAGCUGUACCUGAAAAACAGAUUUGGCUGCAGUAAUGUUUGAAAUGUUAAAACUUGGCAAGAUCGUUUUUCAAAAAUUUGUUUCAGCCCGGAACGAAAUACAUUGAUAUAUAGCUUUUGUUGUGUAGUAAAUGUUUGUAAAUAUCAAAAUAUAAUUGGUCUAGUGUCUUUCUCUUCCUAAUCAUUUCUAUAAUAAAGAAGAAAUAACACCAACGUUUAUUACACAAUAUGAUAGAAUAAUUUAAACCAUGUCUGUAAACUUGUUGUUUGUUAAACAAAUCGAUAGUAUUCUUUAUUGUAUAAUAACAUAGUCUUGUUUUUUAUAAUAGUAACACUUUAAAACUAACUAGAAUUUUUGUUUGUUUAUGUUUUGAUGUUGAAAUUGUAUGCAAUAGGCCCAUCCAUACUUGUUAUUUUGGACGAAAAUGUCUGAAAUACCUACCUAAAUUGAUUAAAUUCAUGUAUUUUAAAAUUCAUUACAUAGGUGCACAUACUUGUGAUUUAUGAACACCUUUUGUACCCUAUUUCUGGAAAUAAAUUAUAAUUAUUAACAUGCUAAAUAAAAAACUCUUGUACUGUAA